rnacentral:rRNA from 1 species
CCAGGGGAGCGAACCGGAUUAGAUACCCGGGUAGUCCUGGCUGUAAACGAUGCGGGUUAGGUGUCACCAGAGCCACGAGCUCCGGUGGUGCCGGAGGGAAGCCGUUAAGCCCGCCGCCUGGGAAGUACGGCCGCAAGGCUGAAACUUAAAGGAAUUGGCGGGGGAGCACUACAACGGGUGGAGCCUGCGGUUCAAUUGGAUUCAACGCCGGGAAGCUUACCGGGGGAGACAGCUGGAUGAAGGUCGGGCUGAAGACCCUACCAGACUAGCUGAGAGGUGGUGCAUGGCCGCCGUCAGUUCGUACUGUGAAGCAUCCUGUUAAGUCAGGCAACGAGCGAGACCCGCGCCCUCAGUUGCCAGCGGAUCCCUUCGGGGAUGCCGGGCACACUGAGGGGACUGCCGGCGCUAAGCCGGAGGAAGGUGCGGGCAACGGCAGGUCCGUAUGCCCCGAAUCCCUCGGGCUACACGCGGGCUACAAUGGCCGGGACAAUGGGUACCGACCCCGAAAGGGGUAGGUAAUCCCCUAAACCCGGUCUAACCUGGGAUCGAGGGCUGCAACUCGCCCUCGUGAACCUGGAAUUCCGUAGUAAUNNNCGCCUCAAAAUGGCGCGGGAAUAC